rnacentral:misc_RNA from 1 species
GACAGAAUUAAAUGCCCAGGAUAAUGAAGUAUAUUCUUCUCUUCAAUUCACAAAUUUGACUUAUUUUUUUAUCUGAACUUAUGGGAUAAAUUUUUUACUCUCUGAUUCUAUUUGCUAGCCGACCCCAAAUUUUUGGGAUAAAGGUUUAGUUGAGUUGAGUUGAGUCUAUUUGCACAGGAUAGCGUGAAGGAUAAGUAUUCCAUGCA